CGGACGGGUGAGUAACGCGUGGAAAACCUGCCGUAUGCUGGGGGAUAACACUUAGAAAUAGGUGCUAAUACCGCAUAAGCGCACAGCUUCGCAUGAAGCGGUGUGAAAAACUCUGGUGGUAUACGAUGGUUCCGCGUCUGAUUAGCUAGUUGGUGGGGUAAUGGCCUACCAAGGCAACGAUCAGUAGCCGGCCUGAGAGGGUGAACGGCCACAUUGGGACUGAGACACGGCCCAAACUCCUACGGGAGGCAGCAG
rnacentral:rRNA from 1 species